UUGUGGUUUGAGCUGAAUACU
rnacentral:piRNA from 1 species